UUGGCUGAUACUGUUUUUUCUUUUUCUUCUUUCUCUCACUGCCUUCUGGAAUUUCCUUUCCAGUCGUCCUCUUCCUUUUCUUUUCCGUAUUUAUUUCAGAGGUUGUAUGCUUAGCAAAUUCAUCUUCAAUAUCUAUGUCGGCAAAUGGCAUCUCUGCCAUCAGAGAAUCAACUGAAUCAGCAGGAGGACAUGGCUUUUUUCCCUCUUGUGUCCUUUUUUUAUUUCCUUUAACGAUUUUCUUCUCCUGCUGCAUAUUUUCCAGCCCAUCGUGCUUUGGGGUCGAGUCGGUUGCGAGGGACGGCUUCUCGCCGCCACCCGCUUCUGCCGCCGCCGGCCGCAGCGCCAUGGGACUCGCGCGCGGGGCGAGAAGGGCGCGCGGGGCGAGAAGGGCCGCAGGCCACGCCGAGCAGAGCGCGGGGAGCAGCCGGCGCAGCACACGUUGCAUCUCCGGGUGGGACGAGCGAGGCUGGCUGCCGGGACACCGCGGCCCGGACGGGACGGGGCCGGGCGCAGGCGCCGCGCCCUUCGGCCCGACGAGAGAGGGGCCACGGGGCCGCAGCCGCGGGACUACAGCUCCCAGCGCGCACCGCGCGGCCGGCCCGGCGCGGGGCAUGGCGGGAGGCGGGCGGGGCCGGUGCUGCUCCGGAGCAUCGUCUGUGUGUUGGGCCUGCACAGUCCAGAGCGAUGAUUUUCUGUUUUUUAGUUGAGGUCUAGGGAAGAUAGAUAGUCUUGCUGUAAGCAGCCGUUCAUUUUUUAUGAGACACCGGAACACUUACUGGGGCAGUAAUGUCCCAGCUGUGACUGCACAGCCUCCUGUUGGGAAUCUGCCUCUGGGGCAUAUGUGGGAGGCUGCUCCUCUGAGGCGAGGAGUGGAAGGCUCUGUUUUCCUGCUUGAAUAAAGACUUUGUGCCCCUUGGAAACAAAACUCCGGCGCUAUGUUCUGUGGAUGACGCCAAACCAAAUCCUGCCUUGUGUUUUUGCACAUCUAUCUGUGCAUACGGACAGGAUCUGAAGGGACUGACUGUAUAUUUGAAUGCAGGUUCUUACUUCCACUUCUGAAGGGAGUAUGGGUGGAGGAGAGAGAAAACAAAAAGAUGGCCAUAGCAGGAAGGAAGCAGCACAGCGAGAUGUGGGUGGGAGGUUGAAAGCUGAGAGACCGCUGAAAAUUGCAUGGGUUUCUGUACUCGACCUGUCUGUACCUUUUCUUCAUGGCAGAUAAAAUCUGUUUGGAAAUGCUUCGCAACUAUUUUGACCCAUUUCAUACUGUGUUUGCCUUUAAUGUCUUUCACACAGUAUUUUCAUUAGGUCUGCGUAGUCUUAUGGAAACCACAGACUGGAUGUGACACAGAAAUCCCAGUCCUGAGGAAUCUGGGGAAAGUCUGAACAUAAGGCUACUGGCAGUGUUUCUUGCUGCGUGUUUCAUCUGAAUAUCAGCUGUCAUAAGAAGUCUCAAUACAUACAUGGUCACCUCUUUCAGGCCUGUUUAGCUUUAUGAGUGAAAUACUUAAAAUAAACAUUUGAUUGCAUGAGGUUACAGAUCAAAUAUUUUUAUUCUUAUUUGUAUUACAUAUAUUUGUAGAAAUGUGAAUGUAAAACCGAAUGUUUGAUCUGAAGCAGCUCCCAGACAAUUCAUUAGGUGGUCUGAGGAAAUCCUCAGCGAGAAACAAGAUUUUUGUUUAUACGGUUGACAGAGGAAUCUAAUGCAAUACUAGAUAAGUAAAUAUUUAGCAGUCGUCAUAGCAAAUUAAAACAGUCUGUCUUGGGUGAACCUAAGAUUAUUUCUGUUCAGUAGCCACCAGCCUAAUACUAAUAUGGAGAUGUACUCUUUGGGUUCAUGGUGUACCCAAGUAUGCAGGUUGCAUUAAUUAAAUUAUUUAACUAAAUAAUUAAUUAAAAAUGCAUUUGCUAGGGGUUGUGAGAUUAGCUGAUGUCACAAAUCAUCCCUGCAAGUCAUAAAAGUGGUUUGAAGGGAAAAAAAAAAAAAAAAAAAAAAAAAAAAGGACUAGAAAGCUGAUUUUUCUGCCUGCCUAAAUACCACAGAAGUUACAUAGUUGUCACUGACCUGGUGCCCAUCUGAUGCAAGCCAAUACGUAUGUUGUUGCAAAUGCUUAGGUUUGGGCUAAAGCCAAAGUUUUAUCAGUUUUCUGUGCCCUUGUCUUUAUUAAGGAGAGUUUCUGAUUAACCUCACAGUGGCACAGUUGUCCCUUUGAGGAGAGAAGAUCAGAACUCGUACGACAGCUGAGUGAUGUUAGCAGAAAGAGGAAGCACAGGCAGCUCUACAAACGGAUUUGAGUAUACAGCCACACUGCCCGUGCCUAUCAGCCUCUCACCUGACUGUCUCUUAACCCAUCAUUAAAUCCAAUUUAGUAAAGAGUAAGAGGGCUCAGAGGCACGAUAUUCUCACACCUUUCCUGAAAAUGAGUGCUCUGGGAGAAAAGAGAUUGAUUUAGCUCCCAAAUGAAGAGACAGUGCUGUGCGUAUGUUCUUCCCUGAAACAGUGGCAGCUGGCCAUGAGUAUUGGUCAGCGUGUUAGAUGAUAGGUCACAGCACAUUUUAUCAGCACAUAUAAUCUCUUAUCUUAGUCAAACAAGAGAGAUGUGGGAGCCAUGAGUAUUCAGAACGUGGUUCACUUACGGGAGGUGAGGAAAUAAAGGGACAAGAACAAAACGCAUUUCAGGGAGGCCUAAAUAUUGAAAGAGGAUAUUGAGAUAUUGUAUAGGAUGUGGGAGGGAGUUGAUGAUACUGUAAUGAGAGGGCAUCAAGACUAUAGGGGAAGCUUUGGCUAUUGUGAUAAGAUGGGAGGACAUAACUGAUAUGAAACAAGGCUUUGUUACAGCCACUGCUGAUAGAGCAACUUGUUUUCUGACAAGUGAAGAAUAGACUGUGUUCCGAUAGUAAUAAGAGCCUUUCUAUAGGGACAAAGAAAAGCAUAAGUUGCAGAACUGCAGAUACUGGAAAAUGAGAGAGAGACAAAAGUGCCUGGGUUAAAGUAACUUAAUGUAAGGAUCAGAAAGCAAAAUGCUAGGGUUGCUUCAAUAACUGUAUAAAAGGAAGAAAACCUGAUGUUGUGUACUUACCUACUUAAUGAAUAGAAAUGGCAUUUAAUAUCUAACAUGAAGAUUGAUAUGGAAAUUACAUGCAUGGGUAUUUGCAUGAUCUGUUGACAUGGUAGUUUAUGUACAUUAUUACAGAAGUGAACAGAACAGGGGAAUCAGCUGAUUAUCCAAACAUGCAGUUCCUUACUUGCUACCCUCUGGGUGGUGACCUGUUAAGAGAAUCACCUGGUGAAGGUCAGUCUACACGCUCAAAUGCUAUUGAUGUUGAUGUAUGGUUCUGCGCACUUCCAGGUACCUCUAGGCUUUUACGAUGGCAGGAUGAGCAUGACUGUUGAGCAGACAGAGGAUUCACCUAUCAAAGUGGGGCAUGAAUGCCUUUGCCAGCAGGUUUGCUGAAAGAUAGAGGCAUAAGCUGGAAGAGAGUUGUCCCAGAUGUACUGGCAGAGAGGUGGUGAGAGAUGGUGGGAAAGCACAUGCAGGACAGUGUGGUGGCAGAGGCUGUCCCUCUGUGCCUGAGAAAGCAUCGUGUGUGAAGCUGUAGUGCUCAGAGCUGGGAGAGACCAGCUCUGGCACACAUCUGGGAGGACCUUGGCUGGCUGGAGAAGUGGGACAACAAGUGCUUCAUGAAGUUAAACAAGGACAAAUGUAAAAUCUUGCAGCUAGGACAGUUGGUUUUGACAAAAGCAUCUGGAUGCAUUUCUACAUUAGUUUAGGUCCCUGACAUUUUUAACACACUUGGAUGAGCUCUGCACCAGACAUUACCAUUAGGGUGAACUCCUUCAACCAGGUUACCUUGCUGUUGUGUAUUUCUGAAAGUAGCUAUGCUUUAUGGAUUUAGUCUUACACAAAAUGUCUUUACAACUUCAGUCAGACCCUUUUUCUGUAUAAGGAUUGCAGUGUUGUACUUGCCUACACAUCUUCCCAGCCUUCUUUCAGCACAACUCCAAACAGCCAAAAGAGAGGAAAUCCUUCUGAGGCCUUUAGGGCUUUGCAAUAACAAAAGCAGCAGGAAGAAUAUCUCCAAGUAGCAAAAAUAAGUUUGUAUUAGACACGUCUAUUUAGGAGCUGACUAAAAUAUUCAUUUAAUUUUGCUUCAGUGGAUCAGAUUGAAAUGACACAGGGUCAUAUUUGCAGGAAGACAUACACCCCUUAAUGCAAAUGGAAGAAGAUACACACCUCUGAGAGAGCUAAGACUUAACUGCAGGCUUAGUCAUCCUGAGUGCAGGGACACUGGCUUAGGACACACCCAACCUCACAAGCACAUAGGUAUCUUACAGAUCUCUUUCAGGUUUCUACUACAUCAUUUUCAGUUCACUUAUAAAUUGCUUUCCUUCAGGGAUGGGGAAUUGGGUGGGGAUGCAGAGAGGUCUAAUAGCCCCUAUUAAAAUGCUACCAGUUGCUAAGCAUUUCUGGUUAUCCUUGUUCUUUCUACAGCCCUUGUUCCCUGGGAAAGAUACAGUUGUCAGUUGUUCAUCCGUUUGCCCUGCACAUUGUAUCUCAUUGGCUAGUUUUAAUGUUUCCUCUUAAAUACUUGAAUUAGAGGGUGCAGAACGUGCUUUCCUAACCUAAUUCUCUCACUCCUCAGCACACCCACAAUAGAAAUCCACCAGAAGUCAUCUGAGUAAACUCUCAUUUUGCAGCAGACCUGUCAUGCUAUUGCUGACAAAACCAGUUUUCCCUGUGUUGCUCCAGCAUCGGGUAAAAAAAGCGAUUCAUUUCUUUACCUGUCUCAGAAGUACAGAUUCUAUCACACAAUUAGAUAUACAGAAGUUUAGUUUCAAAAACACAGGGUAACCAUAACACAAAUAAUACAAUGGAAUACGUCUACUAAUUCAUAUUUUACUAUCAUUAAAUAUUUAUGCGCACGCAAAUGUAACUAUAAAACAGAAAAGAAACGAUUUUGAUAGCUACAAUCUUGUUUCUCUUAUUCUUCGCGUGUACCAUUCAGAUUUAUGCAGAAGGUUUUGUGCAGUGGGGACCAUUAAUGGCAGUCUGCAAAGAGGAGACACCAUUCAGUUUGAUAGGAUACCUCCACAGAUGUGUACACUGAAAUAAAAACACGUUUCUCUUUUAGAGCCUUUAAUAAACCUAGCGGACUUUUUAGCUCCAGAGGUCAAGUUAAGUUUGGUCCGAAGUCUCUGGAGUUGCUUUUAUUUUCUGACUGAAAUAGGAACUUAAGAAAAGCGUGUGGACGGAAAGUGUUUAAUCUAAAAAAGAAGACACUGCCCGCAGUUUUAAGAGUUUGAUUUUAAAUGCAGUGAAUAUGGCCAAAAGCCAUGCGGAAGUCACGCAGCUGAGACACUGGAUCCUGCAUUCCUUGAGCAAAAGACACUUUACUGGGAGUCUUAGGCAAGUAAAGAAUGCAGUUCUGGAUCCAAAAUGCAUAUUAUUCCAAAUGUGGGUGGGGGAAAUAUGUACUUACUGACUAAACUGAAAAAUCUUGAUUCUCAGCUGCCUAUCUGUUGUGUUUCUUGCUCUCUUCUCCCUUCUUGCUCGUCUGUCUGUCCCUCUUUUCAGCCACAAACUUCUCUUUCAGCCCUGACUCCCUUACCUUCCCAAGCUCCAAGUACUACACAAACACCCUAUGCAUUUGUCACCACCGUGCAGGCUUUGUGAGUGGCAUUGUUUCUUUUUUCCCCUUUUUUAUCCGUAGACUUUUUGUAAGGUUAGGACAUCUGUGGAAUAGAGGCAGUAUCUUUCAUGCAUGUUUACUGAGCACAAAGUCCAAUUACAAAAAAACCCGAGCUUCUUGUUGCCAGCACAUAGUGCAGCUCCUUGCGAUGUGGAGAUCAUCACUCCUAGUCCAGAGGCAUUUCUGGUGCAUGCCUAAGGGUUGUUCUAGAAACACUCUUCUUUCUCCACAGAUGGCGCAGAUGGCCAGACCAACUAGGCAGGCGUCCUGCUGAGCAUAUCAGUUAAAAGGCAUGAGGUGGGUGUAAUGAAUCCGGACCUACAUUUUGUGAUAGGCUGGUUUAGAAUUAGGAAAAAACCUUUGUGCUUUGGCUUAGUAUUUCUGUCUCUGGCGAAGCCUCUUGGAGCCCAGACAAUUAAAUUCAGUAUCUACUCUCUAAGUGGAAACACUCGUGUCAAAGCAGUGUUUCUAGGGUGUGACACUAAGCCAGGCUCAGCUGGAAGAACCCAAUGAAGACUACUGCCAAUGUUGCAAAGCUCAAGCACUCAGAAAACUUCAGGCAGUGUAGGCUUUGGGACUCCUCCAGGUCAGAGCCUACGUAGGAAGAAAUAAUUGAGUAUUGUUUUGUGUUUCAUGUGAAUUUUGAAAUUGAUUUACCCCUGGUGUGGCUGGGGCUAGCUGCACAAAAAAAAUCCCACCCACUGCUUUCACAUCAGCAGUCUCUUAAGAUGUUUGUUUAUAUUUAACCAGAAGAAUAAAACAGAAAAAGGAAAAAAAAAACCCACAAAACAACUGUUGUUCAAAAUACCUUUCCUGUGAGCUAUUCGGGGAAACAGUAACUUACUGUCUGAAAGAGAAAAGGGUCCCUGACCUAAGAAGUGAGAGGGCUCAGUUCUAACUGUUGUUUUAGCUGCCACUCACACCUGGACCUGGCAUCCAGUUUCUGUCACUGAGCUCCCUGGCAGUUACUGCAUGUACUGCUCCCUGGGUGACUGCCUGCUCUUUGCUAACGAUGAGAGUUACUGAUCCUCUGCUGGAGUCUUAAGGUUUAAUGCACAAGUCACAAAGGUGAACCAAUUCAAAGCUCCCACAUUUUACAGUCAUUAUUUUAACCUAGCUUAAGUGAAAGACUUAACUCAUCUAGUGUUAUGAAAAAGCCUGAAAAACAUUGAAGGAAACAAGUACAAUUAAAAAAAAAAACCCACCUAGAUGCAUUCUAGUUAAUGGGAAAAGAAAUGGAUUUUAAUUUUCCUCCUUGCACAUUAAAUCUCCUACAUUUUUGUUCAAUCCUACAGCCUUUGCUGAGCCACUUCAAAUUCUUAUUCACCAUACUAAAAUGCAUUGCAAGAUCUGAAAGUGUACAGAAGCCAUCAAAUUUUCUCUGGUAAAUCUGGCUUUGAGUCCAAAUCGGAGCAGUAUUUUCAGCAUACCUAUGCCCAGGACCAGAUCUGGGUCACUUUAUCAGGUACACAAUCUCACCCCAUACGUCAGUACUGUGCCCUUUUGCAGGUGUCUGUGAAAGUGAGUUCACGAUUGUUUGAUAGAGUUAGAAUCAAGUGAGGAGAGUAUGAGGAAAAAUGUCUCCUCGGGCUCCUUAAGAGCUGUAUUUCAUGUAGUUUGGUCACAACAGCUAUUUGGUCUUAUUACAAGAGCUUGUACCCAUGAAGGAGGGAAAGAAUGCCUUAUUUAAUCAGUUUAAUUUUAAGAUUGGAACUUGCCAAACUCGGUUCUGUGCAUGAAAAUCAAUAUACAGCUUAAAAAUAAUGAAAUGUGGCUUACGUAUCUACUUUGAAUACUGAAAGGCAAAAGCUCAAGCAUACAUUAAAAUUCAUCCUGUCAAGACCUCUGCCUUUGGUGGAUAGCCAGAGAAACAAUGUAAUCUCACACAUAAUUUGUACUCAGCUCGACAUAUUUCCAUAUAAGCCAUUCAGUUUUGAUCAAAUGUUUUGAUAAAUUCCUAUGCAACAAAGCAUUGCAGUAUGGCUGCUCUCUCUCUCUGAUUUCUGCUGGUUCCUGAAAGCUUUGUCAUCAUUUUGAGCAAAACAGGUAAGCAUCAACGUUGCAAAUAAUAUGAAAAUUUAAAAUAACAAAAGAAUAGCACUAUGCAAGAGGAAGUUGUCUUUCUGUUGUGUCCUGG
rnacentral:lncRNA from 1 species